rnacentral:rRNA from 1 species
UACGAGGGGGGCGAGCGUUGUUCGGAAUUGAUUGGGCGUAAAGGGUGCGUAGGCGGUUUGGUAAGUCUGAUGUGAAAUCCGUAUCGGGCUCAACUCAAUAGUCGUGCAUCGGAAACUGCCGGGCUUGAGUGUGGGAGAGGUGAGUGGAAUUCCUGGUGUAGCGGUGGAAUGCGCAGAUAUCAGGAGGAACACCGAUGGCGAAGGCAGAUCUCUGGGCCGUAACUGACGCUGAGGAGCGAAAGCAUGGGGAGCGAACAGG